rnacentral:rRNA from 1 species
UUUAUGGAGAGUUUGAUCCUGGCUCAGGAUGAACGCUGGCGGCGUGCCUAAUACAUGCAAGUCGAGCGAACGGACGAGAAGCUUGCUUCUCUGAUGUUAGCGGCGGACGGGUGAGUAACACGUGGAUAACCUACCUAUAAGACUGGGAUAACUUCGGGAAACCGGAGCUAAUACCGGAUAAUAUUUUGAACCGCAUGGUUCAAAAGUGAAAGACGGUCUUGCUGUCACUUAUAGAUGGAUCCGCGCUGCAUUAGCUAGUUGGUAAGGUAACGGCUUACCAAGGCAACGAUGCAUAGCCGACCUGAGAGGGUGAUCGGCCACACUGGAACUGAGACACGGUCCAGACUCCUACGGGAGGCAGCAGUAGGGAAUCUUCCGCAAUGGGCGAAAGCCUGACGGAGCAACGCCGCGUGAGUGAUGAAGGUCUUCGGAUCGUAAAACUCUGUUAUUAGGGAAGAACAUAUGUGUAAGUAACUGUGCACAUCUUGACGGUACCUAAUCAGAAAGCCACGGCUAACUACGUGCCAGCAGCCGCGGUAAUACGUAGGUGGCAAGCGUUAUCCGGAAUUAUUGGGCGUAAAGCGCGCGUAGGCGGUUUUUUAAGUCUGAUGUGAAAGCCCACGGCUCAACCGUGGAGGGUCAUUGGAAACUGGAAAACUUGAGUGCAGAAGAGGAAAGUGGAAUUCCAUGUGUAGCGGUGAAAUGCGCAGAGAUAUGGAGGAACACCAGUGGCGAAGGCGACUUUCUGGUCUGUAACUGACGCUGAUGUGCGAAAGCGUGGGGAUCAAACAGGAUUAGAUACCCUGGUAGUCCACGCCGUAAACGAUGAGUGCUAAGUGUUAGGGGGUUUCCGCCCCUUAGUGCUGCAGCUAACGCAUUAAGCACUCCGCCUGGGGAGUACGACCGCAAGGUUGAAACUCAAAGGAAUUGACGGGGACCCGCACAAGCGGUGGAGCAUGUGGUUUAAUUCGAAGCAACGCGAAGAACCUUACCAAAUCUUGACAUCCUUUGACAACCCUAGAGAUAGAGCCUUCCCCUUCGGGGGACAAAGUGACAGGUGGUGCAUGGUUGUCGUCAGCUCGUGUCGUGAGAUGUUGGGUUAAGUCCCGCAACGAGCGCAACCCUUAAGCUUAGUUGCCAUCAUUAAGUUGGGCACUCUAAGUUGACUGCCGGUGACAAACCGGAGGAAGGUGGGGAUGACGUCAAAUCAUCAUGCCCCUUAUGAUUUGGGCUACACACGUGCUACAAUGGACAAUACAAAGGGCAGCGAAACCGCGAGGUCAAGCAAAUCCCAUAAAGUUGUUCUCAGUUCGGAUUGUAGUCUGCAACUCGACUACAUGAAGCUGGAAUCGCUAGUAAUCGUAGAUCAGCAUGCUACGGUGAAUACGUUCCCGGGUCUUGUACACACCGCCCGUCACACCACGAGAGUUUGUAACACCCGAAGCCGGUGGAGUAACCUUUUAGGAGCUAGCCGUCGAAGGUGGGACAAAUGAUUGGGGUGAAGUCGUAACAAGGUAGCCGUAUCGGAAGGUGCGGCUGGAUCACCUCCUUU